GAGCUGGAGGCGGCAUUGAAAGCCCUUGCUAUGAAUUUUUACGUACGCAUAUAAAGUUAUAGAAUGUACAAAGUUAUAGAUAAGCGUGUAAAAGCGUGAAUAAAUACAACUUUCAGCAACGGAUCUCUUGGCUCUCGCAUCGAUGAAAAACGCAGCGAAAUGCGAUAAGUAAUGUGAAUUGCAGAAUUCAGUGAAUCAUCGAAUCUUUGAACGCACCUUGCGCCCCUUGGUAUUCUGAGGAGCAUGCCUGUUUGAGUGUCAUGAAAAUUCUCAACUGCUUCAACUUUUUUUUGGGUGAAGUGAAGUUGGAUUUGGAGGAUUAUUGCUGGCGUAAUAACUUUGGUUGUUGCUUGUUAUCUCCUCUUAAAUAAAUGAACUUUCUAGUAGAUCAUGGCAAAGUAACACUAAUGUGAUAAUUAUCUACAUUAUAUGUGAAAGUCCUUGAGCACAAGGGAAAUCCUUCCUAUAUGAAAGGUGGAUGGUGUUGAUAAAUUUGACCUCAAAUCACGUAGGACUACCCGCUGAACUUAAGCAUAUCG
rnacentral:rRNA from 1 species